UUGCUAUGUCUGUUGAACACUUUUCAAUAUUUACCACGUAUAACCUCUCUGCAGUGAAUGAUACAAUUUUCCUUUGUCUCAUUUUUAAAACUCCUACCUUGACUUCCUGGUCUCAUUCUGCCUUAUUUUGCCUCUGUGCCAUUAACUUUCUUGUCUUUUCACGUUAACAAUUUUCCAGAGCUCCAUUCUUCACCAUCUACUCUUCUUAUUAUGCAUACUUUUUCUGAGAAAUUUUAUCCACUCUCUCUAAAGCUUAUAUACUACUAGCUCUCAAUUCUAUAUCUUUAAUCCAGAUCAAAAGCCAUGAUGUAUAAUUGGAUACCCUGUACCUGCUUCAUAAAACAUGCCUAGCACCUAACUUCUUAGAUGUGCCUCAAAUCUGUUCUUCCUUCCAUACUCUCUCUAGAAAGUAUGGAGCCACCAUUCAUGCAAGGAUCUAAAGUAGAAAACAGAAAGCUGUCUUUGAUCCUUUCUUUCAUUUUUAUCCUCCACAUGAUGGUCAAUUUUAUGUGUCAAUUUGACUGAGUCACAGGUCAGUCAGAUAUUUGAUUAAACAUUUCUCUGGGUGUGUUUCUGCCUGACUCUCUUCAAACUGGAAUAUCAGUGUUCACACAAGACAUCACUCUUCUGCCUUCACACUUAGACUCGGACAGGAACUUGUAUUAUCAGCCCUCCUGAUUCUCAAGCCUUUGAGCUCAGACUGGAACUAUACCAUCCGCUCUCUUGGGUAUCCGGCUUGCAGACUGCAGAUCUUGGGCAUUUCUGCCUCCAUAGUCCCAUGAGCCAAUUCCUUCUAGUAAAUGUAUUUCAAUAAGGAAAAAUAUAUAUCCUAUUUCUUCUAUUUCUUUGGAAAACCCAGACUAACACAGAUUUUGGUAUCAAGAGUGAUUGUAGAGGCAUUGAAUUUUAAGAAUGAGUUUUCUGAAUUGGCUCUGGGUUUUCUGGAGUUGGCUCUUGCUAUGACCUGAAUGUAUCACCCCAAAAUAUUGAAACUUAAUCCUCAGUGUAAUAGUAUCAAGAGAUAGGGACUUGAAAAAAGUGAUUAAGUCAUGAGGGCUCCACCCCCAUCAAUAGGAUUAGUGCCCUCAUGAUAAGAACUGAAAGGCACGUUUUCUCCUAUGUUAUGUUAAGAUGCAGCAAGAAGAUGCCAUCUUUAAAGUAGAGAGAAAGCUGUCACAAGAAACUGAAUCUGUUGGUGCCUUGGUUUUGGACUUCCCAGACUACAGAACUGUUGUGUCCUCUAUUAGAGAGAUUGCCAUGCUCCACCUGGAUUCCCCCAUCUAAAUGCUGCAUCCUCCUCUCCAGGAAAUAGGUAGAAAACAAACAUAAGCCUUGCUGCUUUUGUUUCCUGUCUCUUUAGGAUUACUUUUGCUUUUUGUCUAAUGUUUGAAAUCAUUGUUUCAUAUGUUUGGUACAGUUUUUUAGUUGUUCCAGGCUGUGGUGUAAAUCUGGUCUCCCUAUACAGUAUUUUGAACCUACUUUUAUCUCAGCAUUCAACAUAUUAUUGAGUAUUCAUUGAAAGCAUUGGUUUAGUGGAUAAUGUAAGCACUACAUGCAUAUUCACUUGAACACCUUUACCAUUUUCCUGCACACAGGCUUUCAGUAUGCUUUCAUUCUCAACAGCCAGUAACAGGCUUUUUUUGGGGGACUACCCUCAGUCUGCUUGUACAUAAAUGGUAGGGAAGUUUCUGGGAAUUUACUCCCCUUGCCCUAUCCCUUAAUCAAUGACUUCAUGGAACAAGAAUAUAAAUACUGCAGCUUCCUUGCUCCCAAUGGAACCAACUCUGAGGUAUGAUCUAUACUUUCUCUACAGCUCUUCUGAGAGAUUGAGCAAAAGUUACUUUCUAAGGGAUUUUGCUUGUUUGCCAUCCCUCCCACUACCUUACUGUUUUUUCAAAUAUGAAUUCCUCUUAAUAAUCCUUUUUCACAUUAACCCUUUCUUUCGGGUCCAUUUCUGAGGAUCCCACACUAGCAUAACCAGUUGAAAUUGCCGGUUAAUAUUCUACUCUUUAUACCAUAACUUAACUAUUCUUCAACAGUUCAACCUUUAGGUUGUUUGUAUUUAUUUUUCCUACAAUAGCUAGAUUUGUAAUGAUAAUCUUUGCAUGAAAAAUGUUUCUCUGGGAUCCAGAUUACUUUCUAUGGAUAGAUUUCUAGAAGGGAAAUUACUAAAUAAGAGCCUGAAUGAAUAUUUUAUGGUCUUGAUCAUAUUGCCAAUUUGCUUUCCAGAAAAUGUGUAUCAAUUUAUAGUUCUCUUUGCAGCAUAUCUUUUAAAAUUUUUUACCAUAUUGAAUUAAUUUUAAUAUGAACUUUUUUAAAACUUUGCUAAUUUUAUUAAUGAUAAAAGAUUAUUAGUAGUGUUUCCAUUUCUUUAAUUGCUAAUGAGAUUGAAAACUUUCUUACAAAGUUUUCAGUUGUUUCUACUCUAUGAAUUAUCUGUUUAUGAACUUUGUAAUUCUUUAAUUAUCUUAGUGUUUUCAACAAUGUACAGUUAUUUAAUUGAAAGUUGUAAUUUAUGCAAUCUAUUUAAUCUGUAUAAAUAUUUCCCUAUGCGUUUGCUUUUAAAUUUUUUAGUAUUGUUUGAAAUUCAACAGUUUAAUUUUCAAGUAGUCCAAUCUGUUUGCUUUCCCUUGCCAUUUUUUCUAAUGCUUCUCUACUUAGAAAGUUGUACUACAUUUUAAAUCAGAUAAAUGUUAUCCUAUAUUUUCCUCUAGAUUUUUUUCUUCUUAUCUCUCUUUCUAACAUUUAUCUUAUGAAUUCCUCUGCUUUUUAUUUUGACAUAUGGCAGGGGUGAAAAAUAGAUUCCAUCUUGUGUGCCAAGUUGAUUCAUUUACUCAGUAAAAAUUUAUUCAGUGUUUACUAUGUACCAGGCACAGUGCUAGACAUGAUUAGUAAAAGAAAAUGUUGAGAUGUCUAUUUUUUAAAGUGUUUUAAAGAGAUUUUUUAGAUGUUGUUUGUGAAGCUUUUUAAAUUUCUCAAACAAAAAGAAAUACAAAUACAACACAUCAUGCUAGUCACAUCUGAGAUCAACUAGAAAGCACACUUAGUUGAUGGAAGAGAAAGAGGAUGGGAGAAAUGUGUGCAAUGGCAGUUCCAGUGCUGGGGAUCUUGUCCUCCUUUGAUAUGGUGUGAUAUCAACUCACUCCUCUUAGAAAACAGAUCUUAUGAUCACAGAUAUGCUCAACAAUGUUAAAGACUGCGAAUGAGUAGAAAGCAUCAUUAUCCUGAAGAGAAUAAAUUGAUUAUCAUGGGUUACUAAAAAAUACUCACCUUUUUUCCCUCUCUUCAUCUAAUUACCUAAAAGUAGUAAGAUAUAAUAAAAGUUUUUCUAUAAAUAUUUUAACAUUCUUGUGAUUAUAUUGUUUAUACCACUUUACAUUCUAAAUCCAUUUAACAUUAUGAAAUAUUUGCAUAUGUCAUAAACUACUUAGUAAGCAUCACAUCUAACAAUUAACAUAAAAAGAAUUUUAAUGGACCAAUUACUCUUUUCAAAGAAGAAAUAGUUUCUCUUCUUAAAUAUUAUGCAUAGGUAUUGUCUUGCAGAUUCUCUAUUGGGGAUAUUAUUAUAAACUCAUGCCCAUUUUUUGAGUGUACCCAUUUAAUCAAAGUAAAUUAAUACAAGCACACAAGACCUUAGGCCCUCAAACAAAUUUCUUGUUCAGUUAUCUAGGCAAUCUUUUCAAAUUCCUUCUUUUUAGUAACUCUUCAGAUCAUUUGUUCAAUAAUUUAUUGAGCCUUUAAUAUGGAAAAUGAACUACUGUGUGAUAGGAUAUUGCCAUAAGAAAUAAUGGUCCAUACAUUCUAAUGACUGAGGCAGACCCUUCUUUGCUUCUUAGAAUCUAUUCUUAAAUGUAACUCUUCACAUCUUCAACCUAUCUCUCUCCACUGGUUCCUUUCCAAACACUGUUAAGUAUAUGCUAUCCAAACAAGCCAAAAACCAAAAAUCAAAUGAAGCCAAGACUCAAAACCAAAAAGCAAACUUUAUUUUAACCUGGUUUCUUCUAUUGAAGCUACACCCAAUUUAAUCUCCCUUCUCAGCCAAACAUAUUAACACCAAAGUUCACCCUUACCACACCUCUUUUCAUAUUUACUUUUACCCAUUUAUCUGCCAUACUCUUGCAAUUUUCUACCUCAUCCCUACUCUGUUAACUCUAUGGCCUGUUUGGCUUUAUUUUACUUGCCCUCUCAGUAGUCCUAUCAGUAACACUCCCCUCUCUUGAAGAACUCUCUUCUGGAUUCCUUUGGUUUCCUGGUCACUUUUCUCACAUAAUUUUUCUCGACCAACAAUUCCUCCUGUUACCUUACUAGUCAUUUGAAUGUAUAGUAGAAGCAAUUAAUGUUACUUACGCAACUCACUCGAUUAGAGGAGGCUCUCCUCUUCUCUGCAAAUCAGAUCAACAGAAGCCUCCCUGUCCUUCCCCUCCACACUUCAGGGCUGAAGACUGGCACAUAAGCUAAUCUCGAGUAGGUAUGUACAUGUCAAUUGAGCUGUGUGCUUAGCAGAGACAAGUGGUUUAUUCUAAGACUGUUUAUGCAAUUCUUGCUGUUUUCAUUAUGUAAUUUAACCAAAUAUUAUGCAAACUAAGAAAUAUGAGGCUAAAAAAGAGUUAUUUCUAUGAAAAUUAAGGUGAAUGCUUUGGAAAAGCUCCAUGAUGGCUGAUAGCUUAAAGAAAAAUUGCAGUCAAAUUAGGUGAGCACCAAGACCAAGAAAAAAAAAAUCCUUUACAUUUAGAUGUAUUUUACAUUGACAUUACCUUACCAUCCACCACUCAAUGAAGCUGAAACUGGAAACUGUGAAUGGUGUUCUAUGGCUAAAAGACAAACCUAAGCCCUAACCAACAACAGGUCCACCCGUAAAGCAGAGGCCUUGGGUCCCACAUUAAAAGAGAAUUCAGUGAAAGUACAGUGAUAUGUUUCUUAUUUUAUUCUUUAUUAUUUUUAUUCUUAU
rnacentral:lncRNA from 1 species